AGUGAACGCUGGCGGUAGGCCUAACACAUGCAAGUCGAACGGCAGCACAGUAAGAGCUUGCUCUUACGGGUGGCGAGUGGCGGACGGGUGAGGAAUACAUCGGAAUCUACUUUUUCGUGGGGGAUAAUGUAGGGAAACUUACGCUAAUACCGCAUACGACCUACGGGUGAAAGCAGGGGAUCUUCGGACCUUGCGCGAUUGAAUGAGCCGAUGUCGGAUUAGCUAGUUGGCGGGGUAAAGGCCCACCAAGGCGACGAUCCGUAGCUGGUCUGAGAGGAUGAUCAGCCACACUGGAGCUGAGACACGGUCCAGACUCCUACGGGAGGCAGCAGUGGGGAAUAUUGGACAAUGGGCGCAAGCCUGAUCCAGCCAUACCGCGUGGGUGAAGAAGGCCUUCGGGUUGUAAAGCCCUUUUGUUGGGAAAGAAAAGCAGCAGGUUAAUACCCCGCUGUUCUGACGGUACCCAAAGAAUAAGCACCGGCUAACUUCGUG
rnacentral:rRNA from 1 species